rnacentral:rRNA from 1 species
GACGAACGCUGGCGGCGUGCUUAACACAUGCAAGUCGAACGGAAAGGCCCUGCUUUUGUGGGGUGCUCGGGUGGCGAACGGGUGAGUAACACGUGAGUAACCUGCCCUUGACUUUGGGAUAACGUCAGGAAACUGGGGCUAAUACCGGAUAGGAGCUCCUGCUGCAUGGUGGGGGUUGGAAAGUUUCGGCGGUUGGGGAUGGACUCGCGGCUGAUCAGCUUGUUGGUGGGGUAGUGGCUUACCAAGGCUUUGACGGGUAGCCGGCCUGAGAGGGUGACCGGCCACAUUGGGACUGAGAUGCGGCCCAGACUCCUACGGGAGGCAGCAGUGGGGAAUAUUGCACAAUGGGCGGAAGCCUGAUGCAGCAACGCCGCGUGCGGGAUGACGGCCUUCGGGUUGUAAACCGCUUUCGCCUGUGACGAAGCGUGAGUGACGGUAAUGGGUAAAGAAGCACCGGCUAACUACGUG